CUUUUAAAGGAUCAAAGUCUAAUCCGUUGGUCUUAGACCAA
rnacentral:tRNA from 1 species